CCUGUGUGGUUUAACAAGUAUAAAUUUAUUUAUUUAUUUUUUUUUUUUUGAGAGAUAGGUAGCACGCUAUCUAUUUCGUUUAUUUCAUUUACAAAUAAACUUAGCUAAAAAUGUGAAUCAAUUAGGAUUCGAACUUGGAUCUUGGGUACCAACCACCAAGCCCUUUGUCACUUGCUCUAGGGACGGUCGGUUUAACAAGUAUAAAUCUAACG
rnacentral:lncRNA from 1 species